GUGUGCUGAUUUUAAGGUGAAAACAAAACCCAGCAGACUGUAGCUUUCCAGGACCAGGGUUGAAUGCCACUGUUCUAUGGAUUCCACCAGCGUUGCUCGGAACCAUUGCAAGUAAUCAAUUGCACAAGAUUACUCAAUCACUUGGGCAGGUGCAGCCGCGCUCGUGUUGAUUGACAGGCGGUCUUGCCAUUUUGAAAAGUGGCGUUAUAAAAAGAAAAACGGAGUUCGGAAAUGCGAUUAACAACGUUCAUUACUCCUGUAAAGUCUUGUUCAGCUCUGCAAUCAACCUAGACAACUAGAUGCAUCAAUCAAUCGACACCAAUGCUGGUGUGGGACUCGCAGUGACUCCUGGAUGGACAGAUCAUCGCUGCUGCUAACCUCUCCCAGACCACAGCCUCCGCCUCCUCCCGGCCCUGGGUAUCGCAUUGAGACUCUAAGGACUUUGUACAUCGGAAGGGGCUGAAGGAGCUUGGAGACGGUUAUGUGCUGACAGCACCAGGCCUUGGGUCUCAGGUACACCAACUUUCUCCACUUUCUGCAUCUUGUCAUCUGAGUGAUUGUCUUGUCCUUUUCACAGUCAUUGUGUCACAGGGUGAGCAGUUGAACCACCUCCUCAGGCUUCUGACUGGCUUCUCUGUUUGUGCUGGAAUCCACUCUCCAUCCACUUCAAACCAAGUGCUUGUCAUCCGCCUUGUCCUUUCCUCUCUUCAGUACCAGCCACCUUGAAUUGCUGGGGCUGAAGCUCACUCUUGCUUAGGCAGUGGAUCUGUCCAGGUCUUCAGACACUCAUCUCUCCUCUUACACUAACUAUGUAUUGAUGGUCAUGCUCUCCGUGAAUGUUCAUGUCGGUGGUUGUCACACCUUGGAUUUUGUCUUGGGUCCUCUGCUUGGUCUUUCAGCAGAGUUCACAAGGAUGUAAACAGCAGCUAUGAUGAACACCGUGCACCCUGUUACUGCCCAGCCUCUACUGUUUGGUAGUAUAGUCACAUACUGUUACCCUCAUCCUGAAAUCAUUAAAAAAAAAACUAAUAGAAAAAAAUAGAAAUUAAAAAUAAAAAUCUAAAAAAUUAGUAGAAAUAAUAUAACCGUGAUAAACCCAAACCCUAAUGUAUUUUAGAAAAUUAUAUUUAAGAAUUUACUCCUAAAUAGCAAUAAAAAUAAACAAGUAGGCUAAAUAGUAAUUUAGAAUUAGUUCAGGAUGAGGGUUAUAGUGUACGACUGUACAACCAGAGGCUGGGAGUGGCAUGGUUAUGGGGUGCACAGUGUCCAUCAUAGCUGUCGUUUACAUCCUUGUGGACUCUGAAAGACCAAGCAGAGGGCCCAAGACAAGAUCCAAGGUGUGGCAACCUCUGACAUGAACUUUCACAGACAGCAUGGCCAUCACUAGAUGGUCAGUGAAAGAGGAGAGAUCGGUGUUUGGAGACCUGGACAGAUCCACUGCCUAAGCAAGAGUGAGCUUCAGCCCCAGCAAUUCAAGGUGGCUGGUACUGAAGAGAGGAAAGGACAAGGCGGAUGACAAGCACUUGGUUCGAAGUGGAUGGAGAGUGGAUUCCAGCACAAACAGAGAAGCCAGUCAGAAGCCUGUGGAAGUGGUCUGGCUGCUCACUCUGUGCCAUGGUGAGUGUGAAGAGGACAACACACCGCCCACAUGGCUGGGUGGAGAAGGGUGGUGUCCCUGUAACCCAAGGUCUAGUGUUGUCCGCAUGCACUCCUCUAAACCCAUUCUGGUGUACAAACUCGCAGUCGAACCAGUGGACAGAAACAUUAGCAGCUAACCUCCAAAGAUUCCAAAAGCUCCAGCAGAAUUGACCGGCAGGGGAACAAAAUGGCAGAUGACUUUCAGAGAAGAGAUUGAGGACUGUGACUGCAAGAACAAAGGAAGGUGAGCAUCGAUCAAGGUUCACAUUGUGGCUCACAGUGAUUUUUUUUUUUCAGCUGAUGAAAAGACUUAACACUAGGCCUUAUUUCCCUGGAGGAUCCUUUGCAAAGCCAUUGGAUGAGGACUGGAGUUGGUGAAGGAGCACAAGCAAUACAAUUGUGCUGGAGGUAAUCACUGAAGGAUCAAUCACGUAAGGAUGAGUGCAUGGAGAACAGUUGGUCAUCUAGGUGCUUACCAGUGGAUGUGGGAAGAGGCUGGAGGACAAUGGAUACAGAGGAUACUGAGGAUUCCUGGAGCCAAGGAGCAGCAACAUACAAGACCAUGUGAAAAACGGAUAAACCAGAGAAAGCAAGAGCAUAAAACCAUAUUUGAAUGAAGAGUGGAGAGGAGUGGAUCGGCUACCUGGAUCAGGCCAGGCCAUUGAUAACAAAGUUGUCCUCCAAAGGGGGGGGUGGUGGUGGGCAAGAAAAAGGUUAGUGUUAGUCAGUGGAAGUAGACCAAGGUUAGUUACUCUGAAAGUACCUCUUCUUUUUCACCAUUUUGUGGUAAGUGAAUUCCAAUUCAAACAGGAGCCAGGCCGAAGCCUGGGCUAGACCAGCAAAAACAAAGAUGCCCUCCAAAGAGUGGGAAUGGUGGUGUGAAUUGUAGCAUGGCCCCCUGGUGGCUAGCCACUUUAGCUAGGCUCUGCUACACUAAUCUCUCCCCCUCCCCCCCAGCUGGAGGAGGACAAGCUGAGUACUGACGUGGUAUGAGAGGGUGGCUGGCUACGGCAGGUGAUGAAGACCAGAAGACCAGUUGAAGGGGGUGAGGUGGUCACAGUGUGGAAUGAAGAACCGUUGCCAGAAUCAUGUCCAAGAGGUGCAGCAGGAUUGUACUGGAGCCCUCCCAGUCACUGUGGAGCAUGUCACGGAAAACAGGUUUGAGGACCAUGAAUGGAAGCUUUUGGUGUACCGGUGAUCCAUGGAUGAGAAGCUUCACUGGAUGCAAUCCAUGAAGGUUCAUGUUGGUGGUUGCAGCACCUUGGAUUUUGUCCUGGGCCCUCUGCUUGGUCUUGCUGCAGAGUUUGCAAGGAUGUAAACCGCAGCUAUGGUGGACACUGUGCACCCUGUAACUGCCACCCCAACCUCUGUUUUGUAGUACAGUCACACACUUGUAACCCUCAUCCUGAACUUAUCUAAGUAGGUUAAAUAAUAAUAGUAAUAAUAGUGGUAGUAAUAAUAGUAGUAAUAAUAAUAGUAAUAAAUAAAAUAAAAAUAUUAAACUCUAGCCCUAGCCCUAAUAAAAUUAAAAUUUUAAAGAAAAAAUAAAAAUAGAAUCAAUAGAAACAAAAUAAUUAAAGGGUAAAUAAAAUGAAUAUAAUUAAUUAUAAAAAGGUUCAGCAUGAGGGUUACAGUGUGUGACUGUUUUACCAGAAGCUGGGGGUGGACACGAUUACAAGGUGCAUGGUGUUCAUCACAGCUGCCUUCUGCAUUCUCGUGGGCUCUGCAGAAAGACCAAGCAGAGGACCUAAAACAAAAUCCAGACAUGAAUCUUCACAGAUGGCAUAACCAUCACUACGCAGUCAGUGACAGAGGGGAGAUGGGCUGAGAUGACACUGAGGACUGGGACUGUAUGGACAAAUACUCCAGGUCAGCACUGAUCAAGGUUCACACUGUGGCUUACUGUAAUUGGUAGUGGAUGAAGAGGAGACUAGCCUUUUUCCACUGGAACAUCACAAGAGUGCGUAACAGUGGAUUAACUAUUUGGCUCAGGCCAGACUUGCAAUAACAAAGAUGUCCCCCAAAGAGGGGGGGUGGUGGUGGGCAAGAAAAACAAAGUACAAGAUCUUUUUCAACACAGCUGAACAGGUGGAAGACAGCAUUACACUGGCUUUAGCUGAAGAGUGCGUAACGGCGGAUUAACUACUUGGCUCAGGCCAGACUUGCAAUAACAAAGCUGUCCCCCAAAGAGGGGGCUGGUGGUGGGGAAGGAUAAAACCAAAAUGUACCAACAAGUAUUGUUGAAUGGAUGACGUUAGAUUCAACAUGGGUUGAGAAUGGAUUCAAAAAGCCAGCCGGAAAUGGUGGCAGGGUAUUGGGUUGCCUGUACAGUUCAUUCUGGGCCUGAUCAACCCAGUCUGUGUAUCCUUCAGAAAGUGUGUGUGUGUGUGUGUGUGUGAUGGCACCAAAACUCCUACUGAUGAAAGGACCUCAUCUGAGUCAUGGGAAAAGCCAGGAGCAGUAGUGUCAUUCUGGUGUGCACAUUUGAAGGGUAAGUAUGUAAAUUUCCCUUCCUGGAUUGUGGCCUUGUCGUGGCGGAAGGGCUUGCGAGGUCUUAUGAUCCCCAGAGCUAUGUCGUUGGGGGUAUUACAUGUCCCCCGGUAGGGUCUCCCAAGGCGAACAGGUCUGGGGUGAGGACCCAGACAAACAUGAUCCAAUCGACCCCUAACUGUGGUGAACAAUUACAACUAAGUUUACCUCCCG